rnacentral:rRNA from 1 species
GACGAACGCUGGCGGCGUGCUUAACACAUGCAAGUCGAACGGAAAGGCCCUGCUUUUGUGGGGUGCUCGAGUGGCGAACGGGUGAGUAACACGUGAGUAACCUGCCCUUGACUUUGGGAUAACUUCAGGAAACUGGGGCUAAUACCGGAUAGGAGCUCCUGCUGCAUGGUGGGGGUUGGAAAGUUUCGGCGGUUGGGGCUGGACUCGCGGCUUAUCAGCUGCCUGGGCGGGUAGGGGCUUACAAGGGCUUUGACGGCUAGCCGGCGUGGGAGGGUGGCCAGGCACAAUGGGCCUGAGAGACGGCCCAGAAUCCUACGGGAGGCAGCAGUGGGGAAUAUGGCACAAUGGGCGGAAGCCUGAUGUAGCAACGCCGCGUGCGUGAUGACGGCCUUCUGGUUGUAAACCGCUGUCGCAUGUGACGAAGCGUGAGUGACGGUAAUGGGUAAAGAAGCACCGGCUAACUACGUG